ACCUAGCUGGCUCAGUCAUAAGAGCGUGUGACUCUUGAUCUGAGGGUCAUGAGUUUGAGCCCCAUGUUGGGUG
rnacentral:tRNA from 1 species